AAUUCCUUGGGUUCCCUCUUCCUUCUAGAUGCUGCUGUUGUUCUUGACACUUGCCCUCUUUGGAGGCUCAAUCAAUGGAUUGUUUCAGCAGCACCAUCAGCAGCAACAGCAACAACAACAGCAACAGCAGGUCCAACAACAGCAGGUCCAACAACAGCAUCAAAGUCCCACUAUUGGGUCACAACAACAUCUAGGAUUCAAUUUUUUAAUGUAUAAAGAUGGGGAACCAAUCUCUGGAAUCCGGGUCCAUUUUGGAAAAUCAGGUGACUUGACUAGUCUACAGGCGCUUUUCGGAACUUCAUGGAGCUCAAGAUUUGGCAUCCCCAAGGGCUCUACCCAGGAAAUCCUCUUGAAGAAAGAUGAGUUCAUCGGCAAAGUGACUGGCAGUAAUGAUAAAUUAGGGUGCAUCCGUUAUAUCAGCUUCGAAACAAACCAAGGCAGGAAGCUUAAGUUUGGAAAAGUUGGCAAGAAUAUUUUCAAGGAAUUCUCCAGUACAGAUGGGGCUGUAUUGAAUUCAAUCGCUGGAAUGUAUCGGCCAGGAUGCAUAGCAGGCCUUUCAUUUAACUGGGAGUCCAUAAAGACAGCACAUGUCGCUACUACUGAAAAGCCAGCGCAACUCGCUGCCAGCCAUACUACUCAAAAGCCAGCACAUGUCGCUACUACUCAAAAGCCAGCACAUGUCGCUACUACUCAAAAGCCAGCACAUGUCGCUAAACCUACUACUCAAAAGCCAGCACAUGUCGCUAAACCUACUACUCAAAAGCCAGCACAUGUUGCUAAACCUACUACUCAAAAGCCAGCACAUGUCGCUAAACCUACUACUCAAGAGUCAGUUAAGCCAUUCGCUAAGGGAUAUGAUCCACAAAGAAAUUAAGGGGCAGUCAUUCAGUCAACUACUUAGCCACAGGUAUCUAAUCAAUCCAACUCAUUGGACAGGUAUCCAAAGGACAACUUUUCAGAGCCCAAGCUACAGCCAAAAAGUGGUAAUAAUUCAAACAAGAGCCAUGAUUUUCCCCCAUUACACCCACCACCCAAGGAUAGAGGGAGAUAGCAUUGAUAAUUCAAAUUAUCCCUGCCAUGGUUAUAGACCUGAUACUUUAAAUGAUAUAGGACCUGGCUGUAAUGGUCACCCUUCAUCUUACCCUGCAGCUAGCUGCAAUCAUGAUUCCCCAAAUUCUCUAGGUCUUUUCACAACCUUGACUCAGCAUAAGCUCCAGAGAAAAUCAAUGACUCAUCAAAGAAUUCAGUGAAAGUCCCUGUAUCCUGAAUCAAGCCAAUCAUUUAGGCAGAGAUUAAACAUAUCAGAUAAUGUAUACACUUCUCAGAGAAUUAGACUGAAAAACCUAUUUCCAGGGAUUGGAUUAGAUUCAACUGGGCUGAGGAAGUAGACAAGGAAGAAAAAGUUCAAAGGAAAACAUUAUGAAACUGAUUUUUGUUUAUAAAAUAUAUAAAAGAAGAUGUUUAGGUAUAUGAUUUAGGUGGAAGGACAUAGAAUAUAAUGUUGCCGAGAAGAGCUAAAACCCUUUUGAUUAAAAAAAUAAUUAUAUUCUCAAUCUCUUAAUAAAGCUUUUGCAAAACCAUGAUGAGGUCUUUGG
rnacentral:lncRNA from 1 species